CCUUUUGCAUAAUGGUUAUACUAUUAAGUAAUAUAUAUUUAACCACGAAACAAGGCGAGCUAUUUUUCACCAAUAAUAUGGGUGUAGUAGAACCCAUGGAAGAGACAAAAAUAGGGGUGAUAGGCCUAUCAAGUCUUGGGAUAUCUUGAUGCUAAUGAAAAGUAUUUAGUACUAAGAUAAAUUACAAAUGAUAAGGUUUGUAAUAAGGAUUAAGUACGAUAGAGUAUAAUUUCAAGGUUUAAGUUUUACAAAUUUUUUAAAAAUUAAAAUAAAUUUCAUGUUAUUAUUUCUAAUAAUUAGCUAUUUUACAAUUAUAAGGAAAGUUGAUUAUGUCUAAAUGAGUAUUAAAGGAAAUGGAGAAAAGGACUCGGCAAAUAUUAUUUUCGACUGUUUACCAAAAACAUAGCCAGAUGGAAUAUAUAUUUGGUGAAUUCUGCUCAAUGAUAUUUAAAUAGCCGCA
rnacentral:rRNA from 1 species